AUUGAACGCUGGCGGCAUGCUUUACACAUGCAAGUCGAACGGUAACAGGCCGCAAGGUGCUGACGAGUGGCGAACGGGUGAGUAAUGCAUCGGAACGUGCCCAGUCGUGGGGGAUAACGCAGCGAAAGCUGUGCUAAUACCGCAUACGAUCUAUGGAUGAAGGCGGGGGACCGUAAGGCCUCGCGCGAUUGGAGCGGCCGAUGUCAGAUUAGGUAGUUGGUGGGGUAAAGGCUCACCAAGCCAACGAUCUGUAGCUGGUCUGAGAGGAGGACCAGCCCCACUGGGACUGAGACACGGCCCAGCCUCCUACGGGAGGCAGCAGUGGGGAAUUUUGGACAAUGGGCGCAAGCCUGAUCCAGCAAUGCCGCGUGCAGGAAGAAGGCCUUCGGGUUGUAAACUGCUUUUGUACGGAACGAAAAGGUUUGGGUUAAUACCCUGGGCCGAUGACGGUACCGUAAGAAUAAGCACCGGCUAACUACGUGCCAGCCGCCGCCGUAA
rnacentral:rRNA from 1 species